GGAGAGAGAGAGAGACGUGGCGGAGCGCGAGAGAGAGAGGUGUGAAGGAGAGAGAGAGACGUGGCAGAGCGCGAGAGAGAGAGGCGUGGAGGAGAGAGAGAUACGUGGCGGAGAGAGAGAUGCGUGAAGGAGAGAGAGAGGCGUGGAGGAGAGAGAGAUACGUGGCGAAGCACAAGAUGUGAAGGCGCGCGAUAGAGAGGCGUGGAGGAGAGAGAUGUGGCGGAGCGCGGGAGAGGGAGCGAGAGGUAGACGUGGUGGAGAGAGGGAGAUGUGGUGGAGCGCGAGACGGAGGGGGAGUUGUGGCAGAGAGAGAGAGAGACGUGGUGGAGUGCUAGAUAGAGA
ensembl:lncRNA